CAAAAUUGAAAACCCAAAGCCAAAAUCCCUAAUCUCUAUUCUCCUUCUCCAAAAUCUUCGAAGAAGUGAAGGCUGAAGAGUGAAGAACUGAAGAUUGAAGAACCCUCCACCGCCACUCCCAACCAUCAGCUCCACUCCCAAUCUAUUCUCCACUCUCCAACAUUGAAGCAGCUUCUGCAUACAACGGAUCAGAGGACGCCGUGAAGAACACCCGACGUUCGGCCACCUUCGGGCACCGUCGCCGACGUCCGCGCACCGUCGCGCACCGUCGCCCACGCUCGCGCACCUGGGUUUCUGGGUUUCUCCGUUUCUGGCUUCUAGGUUUCUCCGCUUCUGGGUUUCUGGAUUUCUGGGUUUAGGGCUUCUGGGUUUGUGGCUUCUGUUCGUGGCUUCGUGCUGUGUUGUUUUCUGGCUUUUCUU
rnacentral:lncRNA from 1 species